rnacentral:rRNA from 1 species
GAUCAUGGCUCAGGAUGAACGCUAGCUACAGGCUUAACACAUGCAAGUCGAGGGGCAGCAGGAUCUUAGCUUGCUAAGAUUGCUGGCGACCGGCGCACGGGUGAGUAACGCGUAUCCAACCUUCCCCUUAGUAGGGCAUAGCCCGUAGAAAUGCGGAUUAAUACCCUAUGUUGUUCGAUGCGGACAUCUAAGUUGAACCAAAGGUUUACCGCUAAGGGAUGGGGAUGCGUCUGAUUAGGCAGCAGGCGGGGUAACGGCCCACCUGGCCGACGAUCAGUAGGGGUUCUGAGAGGAAGGUCCCCCCACAUUGGAACUGAGACACGGUCCAAACUCCUACGGGAGGCAGCAGUGAGGAAUAUUGGUCAAUGGGCGAGAGCCUGAACCAGCCAAGUAGCGUGCAGGAUGACGGCCCUAUGGGUUGUAAACUGCUUUUAUGCGGGGAUAAAGUUCACUACGUGUAGUGUUUUGUAGGUACCGCAUGAAUAAGGACCGGCUAAUUCCGUGCCAGCCGCAGC